rnacentral:rRNA from 1 species
UAGGAAUUUUGCGCAAUGGGGGAAACCCUGACGCAGCAACGCCGCGUGGGUGAGGAAGGCCUUCGGGUUGUAAAGCCCUUUUGACAGGAAAGAAAAAAAUGACGGUACCUGUAGAAAAAGCACCGGCUAACUCUGUGCCAGCAGCCGCGGUAAUACAGAGGGUGCAAGCGUUAUUCGGAAUUAUUGGGCGUAAAGCGCGCGUAGGCGGUUUGGUAAGUCUGGUGUGAAAGCCCUCGACUCAAUCGAGGAAGUGCAUUGGAUACUGCCGGACUGGAGUGCAGGAGAGGAGAGCGGAAUUCCUGGUGUAGAGGUGAAAUUCGUAGAUAUCAGGAGGAACAACGGUGGCGAAGGCGGCUCUCUGGACUGUAACUGACGCUGAGGCGCGAAAGCGUGGGUAGCAAAC